CCCUUAGAAGUUCUGGGCUGCACGCGCGCGACACUGAUGCGCUCAAGGAGUUUACGACCUUGCCUGGAAAGGUUGGGUAAUCUUCUUAAAAAACAUCGUGAUGGAGCUAGAUUAUUGCAACUAUUAAUCUUCAACGAGGAAUUCCUAGUAAGCGCGAGUCAUCAGCUCGUGCUGAUUACGUCCCUGCCCUUUGUACACACCGCCCGUCGCUCCUACCGAUUGCGUGCUACUGAAUAAUUCGGACUGCAGCAACGUUCGGUUCCUGAAUGUCGCAGGGGAAAGUUUAGUGAACCUUAUCACUUAGAGAAAAAAAAAGUCGUAACA
rnacentral:rRNA from 1 species